rnacentral:rRNA from 1 species
GAUGAACGCUAGCGGCAGGCUUAAUACAUGCAAGUCGAGGGGCAGCACGGUUAGCAAUAACUGGUGGCGACCGGCGCACGGGUGCGUAACACGUAUACAAUCUACCUUAAACAGGGGGAUAGCCUUUCGAAAGAGAGAUUAAUACCCCGUAAUAAAUUGAGCGGCAUCGUUUGAUUUUGAAAGCUCCGGCGGUUUGAGAUGAGUAUGCGUCUGAUUAGCAAGUUGGUGAGGUAACGGCUCACCAAGGCGACGAUCAGUAGGGGAUCUGAGAGGACUAACCCCCCACACUGGUACUGAGACACGGACCAGACUCCUACGGGAGGCAGCAGUAAGGAAUAUUGGUCAAUGGAGGCAACUCUGAACCAGCCAUGCCGCGUGCAGGAUGACGGCCCUAUGGGUUGUAAACUGCUUUUAUACAAGAGAAAACCCUGGUACGUGUACCAGGUUG